AGUGAACGCUGGCGGCAGGCCUAAUACAUGCAAGUCGAACGGCAGCACAGCAGAGCUUGCUCUGUGGGUGGCGAGUGGCGGACGGGUGAGGAAUACAUGGGAAUCUGCCCAGUCGUGGGGGAUAACGUAUGGAAACGUACGCUAAUACCGCAUGCGCCCUACGGGGGAAAGUCGGGGACCGCAAGGCCUGACGCGAUUGGAUGAGCCCAUGUUCGAUUAGCUAGUUGGCGGGGUAAAGGCCCACCAAGGCGACGAUCGAUAGCUGGUCUGAGAGGAUGAUCAGCCACACUGGAACUGAGACACGGUCCAGACUCCUACGGGAGGCAGCAGUAGGGAAUAUUGGACAAUGGGGGCAACCCUGAUCCAGCCAUGCCGCGUGAGUGAAGAAGGCCCUCGGGUUGUAAAGCUCUUUGU
rnacentral:rRNA from 1 species